rnacentral:rRNA from 1 species
UACGUAGGGUGCAAGCGUUAAUCGGAAUACUGGCGUAAAGACGUGCGCAGGCGGUUUUGUUAAGACAGAGGUGAAAUCCCCGGGCUCAACCUGGGAACUGCCUUUGUGACUGCAAGGCUGGAGUGCGGCAGAGGGGGAUGGAAUUCCGCGUGUAGCAGUGAAAUGCGUAGAUAUGCGGAGGAACACCGAUGGCGAAGGCAAUCCCCUGGGCCUGCACUGACGCUCAUGCACGAAAGCGUGGGGAGCAAACAGGAUUAGAUACCCCCGUAGUCC